CAUUAGAUGACUGAAAGUAAGUUCUGGUCUCUUAAACCAUAAAUAAUAAAUUAACACUUAUUUCUAAUGA
rnacentral:tRNA from 1 species